rnacentral:rRNA from 1 species
GACGAACGCUGGCGGCGUGCUUAACACAUGCAAGUCGAGCGGUAAGGCCCUUUCGGGGGUACACGAGCGGCGAACGGGUGAGUAACACGUGGGUGACCUGCCCUUAGCUCUGGGAUAAGCCUGGGAAACUGGGUCUAAUACCGGAUAUGACUCCAUGACGCAUGUUGUGGGGUGGGAAGCCUUGUGCGGCUAGGGAUGGGCCCGCGGCCUAUCAGCUUGUUGGUGGGUGAUGGCCUACCAAGGCGACGACGGUAGCCGGCCUGAGAGGGCGACCGGCCACACUGGGACUGAGACACGGCCCAGACUCCUACGGGAGGCAGCAGUGGGGAAUCUUGCGCAGUGGGCGAAAGCCUGACGCAGCGACGCCGCGUGAGGGAUGACGGCCU